rnacentral:rRNA from 2 species
CGCAUGGUUCAAGGAUGAAAGACGGUUUCGGCUGUCACUUACAGAUGGACCCGCGGCGCAUUAGCUAGUUGGUGAGGUAACGGCUCACCAAGGCGACGAUGCGUAGCCGACCUGAGAGGGUGAUCGGCCACACUGGGACUGAGACACGGCCCAGACUCCUACGGGAGGCAGCAGUAGGGAAUCUUCCGCAAUGGACGAAAGUCUGACGGAGCAACGCCGCGUGAGUGAUGAAGGUUUUCGGAUCGUAAAGCUCUGUUGUUAGGGAAGAACAAGUGCAAGAGUAACUGCUUGCACCUUGACGGUACCUAACCAGAAAGCCACGGCUAACUACGUGCCAGCAGCCGCGGUAAUACGUAGGUGGCAAGCGUUGUCCGGAAUUAUUGGGCGUAAAGGGCUCGCAGGCGGUUUCUUAAGUCUGAUGUGAAAGCCCCCGGCUCAACCGGGGAGGGUCAUUGGAAACUGGGAAACUUGAGUGCAGAAGAGGAGAGUGGAAUUCCACGUGUAGCGGUGAAAUGCGUAGAGAUGUGGAGGAACACCAGUGGCGAAGGCGACUCUCUGGUCUGUAACUGACGCUGAGGAGCGAAAGCGUGGGGAGCGAACAGGAUUAGAUACCCUGGUAGUCCACGCCGUAAACGAUGAGUGCUAAGUGUUAGGGGGUUUCCGCCCCUUAGUGCUGCAGCUAACGCAUUAAGCACUCCGCCUGGGGAGUACGGUCGCAAGACUGAAACUCAAAGGAAUUGACGGGGGCCCGCACAAGCGGUGGAGCAUGUGGUUUAAUUCGAAGCAACGCGAAGAACCUUACCAGGUCUUGACAUCCUCUGACAACCCUAGAGAUAGGGCUUUCCCUUCGGGGACAGAGUGACAGGUGGUGCAUGGUUGUCGUCAGCUCGUGUCGUGAGAUGUUGGGUUAAGUCCCGCAACGAGCGCAACCCUUGAUCUUAGUUGCCAGCAUUUAGUUGGGCACUCUAAAGUGACUGCCGGUGACAAACCGGGAGGAAGGUGGGGGAUGACGUCAAAUCAUCAUGCCCCUUUAUGACCUGGGCUAC